rnacentral:rRNA from 1 species
UGCAGUCGAGCGGACAGAUGGGAGCUUGCUCCCUGAUGUUAGCGGCGGACGGGUGAGUAACACGUGGGUAACCUGCCUGUAAGACUGGGAUAACUCCGGGAAACCGGGGCUAAUACCGGAUGCUUGUUUGAACCGCAUGGUUCAAACAUAAAAGGUGGCUUCGGCUACCACUUACAGAUGGACCCGCGGCGCAUUAGCUAGUUGGUGAGGUAAUGGCUCACCAAGGCGACGAUGCGUAGCCGACCUGAGAGGGUGAUCGGCCACACUGGGACUGAGACACGGCCCAGACUCCUACGGGAGGCAGCAGUAGGGAAUCUUCCGCAAUGGACGAAAGUCUGACGGAGCAACGCCGCGUGAGUGAUGAAGGUUUUCGGAUCGUAAAGCUCUGUUGUUAGGGAAGAACAAGUACCGUUCGAAUAGGGCGGUACCUUGACGGUACCUAACCAGAAAGCCACGGCUAACUACGUGCCAGCAGCCGCGGUAAUACGUAGGUGGCAAGCGUUGUCCGGAAUUAUUGGGCGUAAAGGGCUCGCAGGCGGUUUCUUAAGUCUGAUGUGAAAGCCCCCGGCUCAACCGGGGAGGGUCAUUGGAAACUGGGGAACUUGAGUGCAGAAGAGGAGAGUG